ACCUAGCAGUCAGCAACCACUACUGAUUAAUCUGACUCCCCACGAAUAUUACACAGCAGAAAUAUUGCCUUGGUUAGCAACACCCAGUGGCAAGAGAAAGCGAGUGUUACCUACCAAUGAUGGUGAUCCUGGUGACGACUGGCGGUUGUUGUGUGCUGAACCAUAGGUGACACCAGACAGCGGGAGGCUUGGUGCUUCUGGUGACUCCCAGCAACCUCACACACGGCUUUCCUCCUGCACCAGGUGCGGAAGUAUCGUUGUAGCAAAUUGCAAGGUAACUUUAAAGUCUGCUUGGAUAUCAGUACGAGAGGAGAGAUUAUCUUGUUCUAUGAGGAAAGGAAUGUUGGUGUAAUAAUCCUGAUACACAAUGUGGAUGAUAUGGACGGCCAGAAACAGUAGUAGAAUCCUGAAGAGAACAUGGACAAAAAUAUUUCAUUAAAUUACUGCAAGUCAGAGACUUCAGGAUAAAUAUAUCUCCAUGAAUCGAUUCUGCCUCUCAUCUCUAGGAGCUUAGUGCUCCCACAUUAAACAAAAAAAAAGCUAGUGUAAACUGCGUGUUUGGUCUCCAGUGUAAUCGUCCAGCUGCUCAGAGUCACAUGACUGUAAACACUGUAGGAUCCAUGUCGUUGCACAACCAAGUUAGUAUAUUGUUCUCUCUGCGUACCUUUAUCUCAGAUAUUAGUAGUAGAAAGUUACUUUCGCAUUUGCACAAAAGGGUUUGUUGUUGAGGUAAAUAUUGAGUUUUGGGGCUCCAUUGAGUUUCGUGAAAAUUUAUAAUGGUAAGUGUGGAAUAACGGUUUGUAUGUGCAACGGAAAUUGAAAAAAAAUAAUUUUGGUCUUUUUUUUUUUUUUGUCUCAAGAAGUAUGUAGAAAAAGAUCCCUGUUGACUACUGCAACCAUCCUAACUUAUUCUGAUCUAAUGUAAGAAAACCCAGGAACUAUUUACAUUGAACCGACAUGCCACAAGCACUUGCUCGGCGUAUAACAAACCUGUUACAUUCUACCAACAACAAAAAAAAAAAUAUUUUGUUGCUUAUCUCUCUCCCUCUCCUCAAAAAUACCGGAAAUAAUUCUUUUUGUGUUUAUAGGUAGAUUGCUUGCGUUAUAGAAAUAAAAAUUAUUCGUUGUAGCCCCUAAACUCAGUAUUAGUGGCAGUCCAUAAUACAAGACGUCGAAAUUGAUGCACCAUCAACACAAGUUUGGGAACCAUAGAUUUACAAAUACUGUUUAAUGCUGUGGUUUCUAGGCUUCUUGAGUGUUGAGAUAAUGCUUCUGGGCUUAAAGGUUUUCUCCAACUGGAUC